GAUGAAGUGAUUCAUUGACUGAAGGAAGCCAAACGGUCCGCUAGCUAGCGGAUUUUGACGAACAGAAACUACAUACGGAGGCUCAAUAACCGUGGUUGAGCAAGCACACCAUUGCAAAGGCCGUGCUGUUAGUGGUGUUGGGUAGAUGUAGCAGAAAUAGGGAGAAAGAUAAGUGC
rfam:Marivirga tractuosa DSM 4126, complete genome.